UGUUCUUAGCGCAAAACUUAACUCAUUUCUUCUUUUUCUUGAACAGGUCACCGCUGACACUCGGAAGGCCCUCUUCGAGGAGCUUUUAUGGGAGCACCGGGAGCUCGCUGAGGCACACGACAAGUGCCAAGUGAUCCCGGAAGCUUCCAUCGAUGCUCUCAAGGAGCAGCUCGCCACGGCCCAACGGGAGAAGGAUGAGCUCAGCCGGCGG